CGGGAGUAACAACCUCGGAAACAAGAAUGCUAAUACCGGAUAACAACAGAUGAUGCCUAUCAACUGUUUAAAAGAUGGUUCUGCUAUCACUCUUGGAUGGACCUGCGGUGCAUUAGCUAGUUGGUAGGGUAACGGCCUACCAAGGCGAUGAUGCAUAGCCGAGUUGAGAGACUGAUCGGCCACAUCGGGACUGAGACACGGCCCAAACUCCUACGGGAGGCAGCAGUU
rnacentral:rRNA from 1 species